AAAUAUUUUCUCACCGAUUGAUUUGACUUUUACUUUUCACUCAUCUUCUUCAUCAUCUCUCGCGGGGGGAGACAGGAAAAACAAGAAAGAGAAACCAGCCAUGGGAAACCAAAAAAAAAGGUGACGGUGAGCUCUACAACUUUUCAUCAAAAUUUGUAAUUUUUAUAUCCACCCAUCCCAAACCAUAUAGACCUAUUUGAAGCCCACAUCACUAGCAACCCUUAAUUGCCUUAUCUUACUGUGAAAUGGCAUGAAUUGGUUGGAAACUACACAAAUCCGGUGAGCUUCAUCAAGCUCCGAUCACCGGAUUUUGAUGAGUUUCAAACCAUGAUUAGCUCUUUUCCCACUAUUCGGGACCCUUUGAGUCUGAUUCCAAGCUCUGUUUAGCUCCAUUCGAGUUCGUUUGGUCGGUAUGAAGAGACUAACUUUAGGCCGUGAUUUUUCUGUAAAAUUCCGACCAUCACGGGCUACAUCGAGUCUAAUGAAGCUUUCAAACAAGUAUCACAGCCUAUGUGCAAGAACGAUAGCCAUUGGACAAGUAUAAAAACCCCUGAGCAAGUGGUAGCUUUGGGCAGGUGUGAUAGCCCUUGGGCAAGUAGGUUAUAUGAUAGCUCUUGGGCAAGUGGUAGCUUUCGGGCAUAUAUGUUAGCCAUCAGACAGAUACGGUUAUAUGAUAGCACUUGGAGAAGUUGUACUAAUACUAUUAUUAUCAUUACUGUCAUUAAUACAAUAGUAAUUAUAAUUGGUAUUGUGGUCGUUGUUUUGUUACCUUCUUUCUACGUUUAUGCAUUAGUAUGUUCAUUAACUGGGGUGGAAAUAUAGAACUGUACUAAGUGGAUGGUGUGAACAAAUAUGAGUAUUUAAAGUUUAUUAAAUUAUUUCUAGUA